AUCGCUUUCUUGGCCUUUUGGCUAAGAUCAAGUGUAGCAUCUUUUACAUAGAGUAGCGUAUAUUUGUUACUUACAUCCUCU
rnacentral:snRNA from 1 species